CCCGUAGGCGGCUUGAUAAGUCGGGUGUGAAAACUCCAGGCUCAACCUGGAGACGCCACCCGAUACUGUCAUGGCUUGAGUCUGGUAGGGGAGUGCGGAAUUCCUGGUGUAGCGGUGAAAUGCAUAGAUAUCAGGAGGAACACCGGUGGCGAAGGCGGCACUCUGGGCCAGUACUGACGCUGAUGGGCGAAAGCGUGGGGAGCAAACAGGAUUAGAUACCCUGGUAGUCCACGCCGUAAACGUUGGGCACUAGGUGUGGGGGGUUUCAACGCCCUCUGUGCCGUAGCUAACGCAUUAAGUGCCCCGCCUGGGGAGUACGGCCGCAAGGCUAA
rnacentral:rRNA from 1 species